ensembl:lncRNA
AGCUGUACCUUUGGCAUAUGGAGGUUCCCAAGCUUGGGGUCGAAUUGGAGCUGCAGCUGCUGGCCUACACCACAGCCACGGGGGAUCCGAGCCCCAUCUGUGACCCACCCUACAGCUUGUGGCAAUGCUAGAUGCUUAACCCACUGAUCGAGGCCAGGGAUUGACCCAGUCAGGUUCUUACCCAUCUGAGCCACGACUGGAAUACCAGUUGUUGCAUUUGAGUGAAAUCAAAUUUAAAAUUCAGUUCCUCAGGUGCAUUCGCCACCUUGGCCUAGGGCCUGCAGUAUUGAACAGGGCAGGUCCAGGGUUUCAUGUGGUGGUGUUUUCUCAUGAUGUGGCUUGAGAGGGUACUAUGCUCAUUCUAGUGAGUUUGAAGUGUUCCACUUAUUGAGGGAAUUUGGAGUAUUAAAGGAGAUGAAGUAUGACAAAGAUGACCAUAAAAACAACCUAAGUUUCUCUGAGCCAACAUACAAAAUUCAGGACAAGACAGAGGGUGGGGCUGUAAUAGUUUCAGAAAGGAAAUGGGGAGGAGAAGAAAAGACAAGCAGGUUUUGGUACCCACCCUUCGUCGAAUGCUAUUUGGAGAUAAAGAAAUUCUAUAGGAGUUCCCGUCGUGGCGCAGUGGUUAACGAAUCCGACUAGGAACCAUGAGGAACUCCUCUCAUGCUAUUACUCAAAACAUGCAGCUUGCUUUUUGUAAUUAUUUAUGUUAUUAUUUUAUCUCCUUCUUUCUCUCUUUGCUAGAGAGGAGCAACUCUGGGUCUCAUGGACUAGUGUCAUCAUUUCAUUAAGUUGUGGGAAUAGAUAAUUACCUGAGGGAUCACAUCAUUUGGAGGCUUCUAGAUUGUCAAUUGGCUAUAAUCAAGACCCCCUUUCACUAGUAUUUCUAACUAAACACUCCGAUUGGCCAAGCCCUAGUGCAAGAUCAGGCCAAUGUUCCACAUGGACUCCAAGAAAACUCUAAUCUGUUUAGUUUUAUGAUUCAGAUUGUGGCUGCGAGUUGUCUUUUAUCAGAAGACACUGCAUAAUAGAGCAGAUUGUGUAUGUAAUGUCUCCUUUUCAGAACUGGAGAAACUAAAGGAUCCUGAGGUUAUUUACCCAGAGUCCUCAGGCAGGUCAGGUCUGUGGUGGAGUUUUGGUGGGACUAACUUUAACUGACUCUCCAGGAACCCAGUCUAGGACCCUGGACAAUCCUGUGGUGUAAGUUGUUGACUGACCAGAAAAUUCCAGAACACUCUUCCCCUAUAGUUUUACCUUGACACAAAAUAAAAUAAUGACAUCAUGUUGGGAACACAGGACUUCUCUAUUUGUAUUUUUAGAACUUGUUAGAUUUUUCCAAGGGUGGACUUUGUCAGUCCUCCUGUUCAGGAAAAAUCAUUGUGCAGAACUUGUACUAUUUUUAUUUUCAACUGAUGUAACAACUGUGUUGGUUCUAGAAUCUAAAGAACAAAGUGGUAGGCUAGCUUUAGUGGAGAACCAAAAACUUUGUUCCUAGACACAAAGCCUUGAUAAGAAGUCAGAAAUUUGGGGACUUUUAUUUUCUUAUUUAUUUAAUUUAUUUAUCUUUGCUUUUGAGGGCCGCACCUGCGGCAUAUGGAAGUUUCCAGGCUAGGGGUUAAAUUGGAGCUACAGCUGCCGGCCUACCCCACGGCCAUAGCGACUCCAGAUCCCAGCCGCGUUUGCAAUCUACACCACAGCUCAUGACAACGCUGGAUCCUAACCCACUGACCGUGGCCAGGGAUCGAACUUCCUCUUCAUGGAUACUAGUUCGGUUCGUUACUGCUGAGACACGACUGGAACUCCUGUAACUUUUAGAACCCCCCUUUUCUGUCUUCAGAGCCUAAAUUGACAAGUGCUCAAGAAUGCAUGUGCCUCUUGGAGGCAGGGGACUUACCCAAAAUUAAUGUCUUGUAGUAACGCUAUUAGUAUAAGGGUAUCCUUUGCCGCGUUUUGCCGUCGUCGCAUUUCUGCCGGGUAGCUUACAGGUGUGUGCCGCCUAGGAAACAGUGGCGGGAGAGGGAGGAGGGCUGAUCAGGGAAGGAUCCGGCUGAUUAGGGAAGCAGAGCAAAGUCCACCGCCAUACUCAGAUGAAAGUCUGAAAGGUUAGUUCGCCUUGGUUCUGGCGAGCAGCACACAAGCCAGAAUCUUGACGAACCAAGAACUCCCCCUGCUCUCCGUCAACCACGCUCAGAGAACUGGCCUGGACUAGGCGGUGGGCGAGUGGCGCGCGUCGCCCCCUUU